GACAGAGGGUGCAAACGUUGUUCGGAUUUACUGAGCGUAAAGCGCGUGUAGGCGGCUUGGCAAGUUGAAUGUGAAAGCCCACGGCUCAACCGUGGAAGCGCAUCCAAAACUGCUUCGCUUGAGUCUCGGAGAGGAAGGUGGAAUGCUUGGUGUAGAGGUGAAAUUCGUAGAUAUCAAGCAGAACACCUGCGGCGAAGGCGGCCUUCUGGACGAUGACUGACGCUGAGACGCGAAAGCGUGGGGAGCAAACAGG
rnacentral:rRNA from 1 species